ACGAUUCCCCACAUCCCAAAUCACGCACCUAGAUCCAGAUCCGGGGAUGACGUAGGCACGAUGAACUCAGUGGGAUCUCUGGAGCUAAUCCCAGAUGUGAGCAAGUUUCAUGUGGUGUAGCAUCUGUUGGUUGUCAUGCAUGCAUGAAGAUUAUUGACUGUUUAAUUUAGAAGAACUGAGCGAUUUGAGAAGCAAAGAUUAAGUUUUUGUUUUGUGGUACAAGCAUACUGUUUUUACUCAAGUAAAAUUCUCAACCUUGUAUUUGAUUCUUUGUAAUUGUGAUGUACAUUCUUGACUUAAUACUCCCUCUGCCCCA